rnacentral:piRNA from 1 species
UAAAUAUUUUGGAGGGCAGAGAGAAU